rnacentral:rRNA from 1 species
UACGAAGGGGACUAGCGUUGUCCGGAAUCAUUGGGCGUAAAGAGCGCGCAGGCGGCUUGGCAAGUCGGGUGUGAAAUCCCGGGGCUCAACCCCGUGACUGCAUCCGAUACUGUCAGGCUAGAGGUAGGUAGGGGAGAUCGGAAUUCCUGGUGUAGCGGUGAAAUGCGCAGAUAUCAGGAGGAACACCGGUGGCGAAGGCGGCAUCCUGGACCGGUAUUGACGCUGAGGAGCGAAAGCUAGGGGAGCAAACGGG